CUUCGGUACAUCGGUGACAGGUGGUGCAUGGUUGUCGUCAGCUCGUGUCGUGAGAUGUUGGGUUAAGUCCCGCAACGAGCGCAACCCCUAUUGUAGUUGCCAUCAUUCAGUUGGGCACUCUAGCGAGACUGCCGGUAAUAAAACCGGAGGAAGGUCGGGAUGACGUCAAAUCAUCAUGCCCCUUAUGACCUGGGCUACACACGUGCUACAAUGGUUGGUACAACGAGUUGCGAGUCGGUGACGGCGAGCUAAUCUCUUAAAGCCAAUCUCAGUUCGGAUUGUAGGCUGCAACUCGCCUACAUGAAGUCGGAAUCGCUAGUAAUCGCGGAUCAGCACGCCGCGGUGAAUACGUUCCCGGGCCUU
rnacentral:rRNA from 1 species